GGCUCCGCGGAACAUCUGCCAGCUGCCCGGCCCCCGCCGCCAGCCCGCCAGGACAUCUUGUUUGUGUUUUUGUGCGGAGCACACUCCCAGCGGGUUAUGUCAGAGAUGGGCUGCUGACAGGUGCUGCUGGGGGCUGAGAGAUGGAAAAUCCGGACGCUCUGAUAUGGUCUGUCACUAGCUUGAAGAGAAAAAAAGCAGGCUAGCUGAAUCCAAGGAGGAUGUGGUCACACUCGUUGGAAACUCCAGAUGCUACAAUGUAAAAACACAAAUCUGCAUUAAACCGACAUUUUUUAUGA